UCCGCCAUCUAGAGGAGAAUCUGAGAGAGGUCGUGAAGCACUCUGUUCUGCAAACCGCAAGGAAGACUCUCUACACAACCGAAGAUGGGUCUCUCUCUUCCACUCGUUUCUGCGAGAAAGAGCUCCUGCAAGUGGUGGAAUGUCAGCCGGUGUUCUCCUACAUCGACGACCCGGCAAACACCUCCUACGCGCUCCUCCUCCAACUCCGGGAAGUUCUCGUGGAAAAGUCGCUGACCAGCGAAGAGGACAAGGAUGGGUACUUCGUAUUCAAGAAGAUAACCGAGUUCACGAAUGAC
rnacentral:lncRNA from 1 species